AUUGAACGCUGGCGGCAUGCCUUACACAUGCAAGUCGAACGGUAACAGGUUAAGCUGACGAGUGGCGAACGGGUGAGUAAUGUAUCGGAACGUGCCCAGUCGUGGGGGAUAACUGCUCGAAAGAGCAGCUAAUACCGCAUACGACCUGAGGGUGAAAGCGGGGGAUCGCAAGACCCCGCGCGAUUGGAGCGGCCGAUAUCAGAUUAGGUAGUUGGGGGGGUAAAGGCCUACCAAGCCUACGAUCUGUAGCUGGUCUGAGAGGACGACCAGCCACACUGGGACUGGGACACGGCCCAGACUCCUACGGGAGGCAGCAGUGGGGAAUUUUGGACAAUGGACGCAAGUCUGAUCCAGCCAUGCCGCGUGCGGGAAGAAGGCCUUCGGGUUGUAAACCGCUUUUGUCAGGGAAGAAAAGGGUGUUUCUAAUAAAGACGCCUCAUGACGGUACCUGAAGAAUAAGCACCGGCUAACUACGUGCCAGCCGCCGCCGUAAAAC
rnacentral:rRNA from 1 species